rnacentral:rRNA from 1 species
UACGUAGGGUGCGAGCGUUAAUCGGAAUUACUGGGGCGUAAAGUGUGCGCAGGCGGCUGAGCAAGUCGAGUGUGAAAUCCCCGGGCUUAACUUGGGAAUUGCGCUCGAAACUACUCGGCUGGAGUAUGGCAGAGGAAGGUGGAAUUCCACGUGUAGCGGUGAAAUGCGUAGAGAUGUGGAGGAACACCGAUGGCGAAGGCAGAUCUCUGGGCCG